rnacentral:rRNA from 1 species
CCUACGGGUGGCAGCAGUGGGGAAUAUUGCACAAUGGGGGAAACCCUGAUGCAGCGACGCCGCGUGAGUGAAGAAGUAUCUCGGUACGUAAAGCUCUAUCAGCAGGGAAGAAAAUGACGGUACCUGACUAAGAAGCCCCGGCUAACUACGUGCCAGCAGCCGCGGUAAUCCGUAGGGGGCAAGCGUUAUCCGGAUUUACUGGGUGUAAAGGGAGCGUAGACGGCGAUGCAAGCCAGGUGGGAAAGCCCGGGGCUCAACCCCGGGAAUGCAGGUGGAACUGUAUAGCUGGAGUGUGGGAGAGGCAGGCGGAAUUCCUGGUGUAGCGGUGAAAUGCGUAGAUAUUAGGAGGAACACCAGUGGCGAAGGCGGCCUGCUGGACGAUGACUGACGUUGAGGCUCGAAAGCGUGGGGAGCAAACAGGAUUAGAUACCCGGGUAGUC